UGUUAAAAAUUUCAUCCAUUUCUAUUCUUAAAAAUUGAUGUAGCUGACGGAAUAUCAGAAAGUUACAUUUGACGUGCCACGUGUACUUCAUGUUGAUAUACAUGAAUUGAUUUCUAACAGUUGAAAUUGAUAAAAUUUUUAAUA
rfam:Gossypium arboreum cultivar AKA8401 contig_44033_1, whole genome shotgun sequence.